GAUGAACGCUAGCUCCAGGCUUAACACAUGCAAGUCGAGGGACCGGCGCACGGGUGAGUAACACGUAUCCAACCUGCCCUUUACUCGGUGAUAGCCUUUCGAAAGAAAGAUUAAUACCCUAUAUAAAGGAUGGGGAUGCAUUUCAUUAGGUUGUUGGUGAGGUAACGGCCCACCAAGCCUUCGCUGGAUAGGGGUUGUGGGAGGAAGGUCACUCACAUUGGAACUGGGACCAGGUCCAAACUGCUACGGGAGGCAGCAGGGAGGAAAAUUGGUCAAUGGGCGUUAUCCUGAAACAGCCAAGUAGCGUGAAGGAUGAAGGCGUAUGGGUCGUAAACUUCUUUAUAUAAGGAUAGGUAUUAUAUGAAGAAGGACCGGCUAACUCCGUGCCAGCCGCCGCGGUAAUUC
rnacentral:rRNA from 1 species